CAGCAGCCACGGUAAUACGUAGGUGGCAAGCGUUGUCCGGAAUUAUUGGGCGUAAAGGGCUCGCAGGCGGUUUCUUAAGUCUGAUGUGAAAGCCCCCGGCUCAACCGGGGAGGGUCAUUGGAAACUGGGAAACUUGAGUGCAGAAGAGGAGAGUGGAAUUCCACGUGUAGCGGUGAAAUGCGUAGAGAUGUGGAGGAACACCAGUGGCGAAGGCGACUCUCUGGUCUGUAGCUGACGCUGAGGAGCGAAAGCGUGGGGAGCGAACAGGAUUAGAUACCCCGGUAGUCCCUGUCUCUUAUAC
rnacentral:rRNA from 1 species